rnacentral:rRNA from 1 species
UCAGCUGGGGACCAGGGGUCCUUUCGUUUUUCCAGGGCGCACCGGGUACCCGGCUGCGCGAGAAUGACUUGCGGUACCGAAGACAGGAGUCACCACGAUGUCCACCAACUCUCCCG